GAGUUUGAUCAUGGCUCAGAGUGAACGCUGGCGGUAGGCCUAACACAUGCAAGUCGAACGGCAGCACAGUAAGAGCUUGCUCUUAUGGGUGGCGAGUGGCGGACGGGUGAGGAAUACAUCGGAAUCUACUUUUUCGUGGGGGAGUAACGUAGGGAAACUUACGCUAAUACCGCAUACGACCUACGGGUGAAGCAGGGGAUCUUCGGACCUUGCGCGAUUGAAUGAGCCGAUGUCGGAUUAGCUAGUUGGCGGGGUAAAGGCCCACCAAGGCGACGAUCCGUAGCUGGUCUGAGA
rnacentral:rRNA from 1 species